rnacentral:tRNA from 1 species
GUGCCUGUAGCUCAGCGGAUAGAGCAUCAGCUUCCGGAGCUGGGGGUCGCGGGUUCAAAUCCUGCCAGGCACG